UGGUUAGGGUAGGCUUACAUAUGCCAUUCCCAACCCACAUUUUAUAACAAUUCAUGUUCCAAAUAACAUUCUUUGGCAUGUUCUAUUAAGCAGCCAUUAUUGGUUUAGAGCACAGCAUUGCAUCUUGGUCAUGAAUGUAGUUAAUAUAUAUAUAGACAUAAUAUCAAGUAAUUUAGCAUUUUGUGUAUCACAUAGAAUGAUAGAGAACAGACCUUAUGAAUCUAACUCAGUUCAUUGGAUAACAGUAAUGGUGCUACUUAAGGUAGUCUUGCUCAAAUGAUUACGUGUGAAUAUCAGUUGCUUUAUUUAAUGAGGUAUCAUGAAGAUGUCAAUGAGUUUGUGAAUUACAGCGUUUAACAAUCAAUCAAUUGCUUUAGUUUACAUUGUUUAGAAGAAUGGGAAUGGUAAUAAUGUUCAUUGUUAGAUUGCAUUGAUGAAUUUGUUGGAUCACUGUAAUUGUAAAAUUAUCAAUUCAACCUUUGGUUCCCUCCACAUACAUUGUCGUAUGAUAACUUUAUCGAUGAUCAUUCAUUUUAAGUUUGGCAUUCUGCAUUGAAACUUGACUGAGAUGCUCUGUCGUCUGUACAGAAAGUCUGAAAUUUGAUGACCAGAGAGUGUUUUAUUGAGAAGUUAAUUUCAAGAAUAAAGAUAAAUGACUAAAUAGUACCAGGGAGAGAGAGAGAGAGAGAGA
rnacentral:misc_RNA from 1 species